rnacentral:lncRNA from 1 species
AUGGAACCUCCAAACCCAUGUAUAGGAGAUGGUGGGAGCAGUUUGUGCAGGAUGUCCCUGUGGACGUUCUGGAAGACAUCUGCCACCCAAUCCUGGAUCUUUACCCACAAGGAAAACAACAGAUGCCUCAUCACACACCCCACCAGCUCCAGCAGCCCCCACGUCCCCAGUCUACACCGCAAGCGCCACAGGUGCCACCGCCCCAGCCAGCGCAGAAGGCCUCACAGCCGCCCGCCCACACAGCCCCCGCCGCAGCAGGGCCCGCAGCCCGACAAGCCGACCCGCACCCAGUCCUCCCGGCAUCCAGUCCUCCCCGCAGCCAGUCCUCCCCGCACCCAGUCCUCCCCGCAGCCAGUCCUCCCAGCACUCAGUCCUCCCCGCACCCAGUCCUCCCCGCAGCCAGUCCUCCCUGCACCCAGUCCUCCCCGCAGCCAGUCCUCCCAGCACUCAGUCCUCCCCGCACCCAGUCCUCCCCGCAGCCAGUCCUCCCAGCACCCAGUCCUCCCCGCAGCCAGUCCUCCCAGCACCCAGUCCUCCCCACAGCCAGUCCUCCCCGCACCCAGUCCUCCCCGGAGCCAGUCCUCCCAGCACCCUGUCCUCUCGCAGCCCAGUCCUCCCCGCAGCCAGUCCUCCCAGCACCCAGUCCUCCCCACAGCCAGUCCUCCCCGCACCCAGUCCUCCCCGGAGCCAGUCCUCCCAGCACCCUGUCCUCUCGCAGCCCAGUCCUCCCCGCAGCCAGUCCUCCCAGCACCCAGUCCUCCCCGCAGCCAGUCCUCCCCGCAGCCCGUCCUCCCCGCAGCCAGUCCUCCCAGCACCCAGUCCUCCCCGCAGCCAGUCCUCCCCGCAGCCAGUCCUCCCAGCACUCAGUCCUCCCCGCACCCAGUCCUCCCCACAGCCAGUCCUCCCCGCACUCAGUCCUCCCCGGAGCCAGUCCUCCCAGCACCCUGUCCUCUCGCAGCCCAGUCCUCCCCGCAGCCAGUCCUCCCAGCACCCAGUCCUCCCCGCAGCCAGUCCUCCCCGCAGCCAGUCCUCCCCGCACCCAGUCCUCCCCACAGCCAGUCCUCCCCACAGCCAGUCCUCCCGCAGCCCAGUCCUCCCCGCCCGCUGGCUGAAGCCACCGUGGUUGUUUCUCCCAAGGAAGAGAGCAAAGCAGCAGAACCACCGCCACCUAAAUCCCCCAAAUUGAGAGCGCUCACCCUCCACUGCCUCCGGCCCACCCACCUGCAGACCCGAAGCCUCCCGUCUGGACCCCCUUGGGCGAGGCGGAGCCCCCGAGCUCUGUGGAUGCCAGUGAGCUCCCCAAAGUCCAGAUUCCUCCUCCGGCCCACCUGCCCCCGGGCACCUGCCGCCCCCACCGCCCUCCAGCUGCGUGACCGCGACGUCUACCACCAGCUCCUACAUGUCAGGAGGGGGCCACCAGAGCCUGCAGUCCAUGGUGAAGACCGAGGGCCCCUCGAAUGGCACCCGGCCCCCAGCCUAGGGCCCGCCAGCGCACCUGCCCUGCCACCCACACGUCUACCCCCCCAACCCGCCCCCUCCCCUAGUGCCCCCUCCACCAGCCUCCUUCCCCCCUCCUGCCAUGCCCCCCACUCCCCCUCCCUACAACCCCAACAUCCCCCCACCCCCACGCCUGCCCCCCACCCACGCAGUGCCCCUCCCCCUCCCCCAGACCUGGGCCUGCCACCCGCCAGCUACCCCCCUCCGGCUGUCCGCAACCCCCCCCCCCCCCCCCCGGGAGGACCGCCUGUGCCGCCACCCAUCCCCAACCCGGCAUGCCUCCAGUUGGGGGGCUGGGGCGGGCAGCCUGGGUGA